rnacentral:rRNA from 1 species
AGCGAACGCUGGCGGCAGGCCUAACACAUGCAAGUCGAACGAUCCUUCGGGAUAGUGGCGGACGGGUGAGUAACACGUGGGAACGUGCCCUUUGGUUCGGAAUAACUCAGGGAAACUUGAGCUAAUACCGGAUGUGCCCUUCGGGGGAAAGAUUUAUCGCCAUCGGAGCGGCCCGCGUUGGAUUAGCUAGUUGGUGGGGUAAAGGCCCACCAAGGCUACGAUCCAUAGCUGGCCUGAGAGGAUGAUCAGCCACACUGGGACUGAGACACGGCCCAGACUCCUACGGGAGGCAGCAGUGGGGAAUCUUGCGCAAUGGGCGAAAGCCUGACGCAGCCAUGCCGCGUGAAUGAUGAAGGUCUUAGGAUUGUAAAAUUCUUUCACCGGGGACGAUAAUGACGGUACCCGGAGAAGAAGCCCCGGCUAACUUCGUGCCAGCAGCCGCCGUAAGAC